rnacentral:snoRNA from 1 species
UUCUGCGAUGAUACCUUUUACAGACCUGUACCGACAUCCCUUCGGAUUAUGCGGACACUGUAUAUUGCCUUUUUUAUCUGAGA